rnacentral:rRNA from 1 species
AUUGAACGCUGGCGGCAGGCCUAACACAUGCAAGUCGAGCGGAUGAAGGGAGCUUGCUCCUGGCUUCAGCGGCGGACGGGUGAGUAAUGCCUAGGAAUCUGCCUUGUCGUGGGGGCUAACGUCCGGAAACGGGCGCUAAUACCGCAUACGUCCUGAUGGUGAACGUGGGGGUUCUUUGGACCUAGCGCUAUUAGCUGACCCUAGGACGGAUUAGCUAGUUGGUGGGGUAAAGGCCUACCAAGGCGACGAUCCGUAACUGACCUGAGAGGAUGAUCAGUCACACUGGAACUGAGACACGGUCCAGACUCCUACGGGAGGCAGCAGUGGGGAAUAUUGCGCAAUGGGCGAAAGCCUGAUGCAGCCAUGCCGCGUGUGUGAAGAAGGUCUUCGGAUCGUAAAGCACUGUAAGUAGGGAAGAAGAGCAGUAAGAUAAUACAUUGCUGUUUUGACGUUACCAAAAGAGAAAGCACCGGCUAACUUCGUG